rnacentral:rRNA from 1 species
UACGUAGGGUGCAGGCGUUAAUCGGAAUUACUGGGCGUAAAGCGUGCGCAGGCGGUUUCUUAAGUCAGAUGUGAAAGCCCCGGGCUUAACCUGGGAACUGCGUUUGAAACUGGGAGACUUGAGUGUGGCAGAGGGGGGUGGAAUUCCACGUGUAGCAGUGAAAUGCGUAGAGAUGCGGAGGAACACCGAUGGCGAAGGCAGCCCCCUGGGCUAACACUGACGCUCAGGCACGAAAGCGUGGGGAGCAAACAGG